AGCCACAUCACAUUGAAGCACCAGUUCCCAAACAAUCACCAAAGUUAAGUAACAUCGAGGCUGAUCAGUACCUAGAUGGGUAACCACUUGGGAAUACCAGGUGCUGUAA